GACAGAGGCCUCGAGCGUUAAUCGGAAUUACUGGGCGUAAAGCGUGCGCAGGCGGUGAUGUAAGACAGGUGUGAAAUCCCCGGGCUUAACCUGGGAACUGCAUUUGUGACUGCAUCGCUGGAGUGCGGCAGAGGGGGAUGGAAUUCCGCGUGUAGCAGUGAAAUUCGUAGAUAUCGGGAGGAACACCAGUAGCGAAGGCGGCGCCUGGGCCAAUAUUGACGCUGAGGUGCGAAAGCGUGGGGAGCAAACAGG
rnacentral:rRNA from 1 species